UACGUAGGGGGCUAGCGUUGUCCGGAAUCAUUGGGCGUAAAGAGCGUGUAGGCGGUCCGGUAAGUCCGCUGUGAAAGUCGGGGGCUCAACCCUCGAAUGCCGGUGGAUACUGUCGGGCUAGAGUGCGGAAGAGGCGAGUGGAAUUCCUGGUGUAGCGGUGAAAUGCGCAGAUAUCAGGAGGAACACCUGAGGUGAAGACGGGUUGCUGGGCUGACACUGACGCUGAUGCGCGAAAGCCAGGGGAGCGAACGGG
rnacentral:rRNA from 1 species